rnacentral:rRNA from 1 species
CGGACUUAGCGGCGGACGGGUGAGUAACGCGUGGGAACAUACCCUUUGGUACGGAAUAGCCUCGGGAAACUGGGAGUAAUACCGUAUGUGCCCUUCGGGGGAAAGAUUUAUCGCCAAAGGAUUGGCCCGCGUUGGAUUAGGUAGUUGGUGGGGUAAUGGCCUACCAAGCCGACGAUCCAUAGCUGGUUUGAGAGGAUGAUCAGCCACACUGGGACUGAGACACGGCCCAGACUCC